GCACCCUGAGUCGGGGCAGGAGUGCAAAAUCUACUCAGUACCACAGAGUAUACGAUCUUGACUGGAAACAAGAUAACGCUGUGGAGAGCCGCACAGAGGCUUGUGUGCAGACGGCAUCCGACAGGCUUGUCAGGGAAAUAUCAUUUGCCCUGGACUGAUGGAGACAUUGGGAAGAUGCUGUUGUGUAACUAACACGAGAGAGCAUCAUGGGAAACAGCACCAUGCUUGGGACACAGUGGGCAUUCAGCAGACGCUGUAUCUGAUUUGGAAGCCAGGAAUAUCAGCUCUGAAAUGGAUUCUCCUUCUCGGGCCAUAAGCAACACAACUGAUGAUGUAUCAACAACUUAUUGAUGAGUAAACAGUUACAUAGCCUUCC